CUAACAAAGACAACUCUCAACAACGGAUAUCUUGGCUCCCGCAACGAUGAAGAACGCAGCGAAAUGCGAUACGUAGUGUGAAUUGCAGAAUUCCGUGAACCAUNGAAUCUUUGAACGCAUAUUGCGCCCCACGGCCUCGGCCCAGGGCAUGUCUGCCUCAGCGUCUG
rnacentral:rRNA from 1 species